CAUUUAUAACUGCCGAGGUUAGAUUAGGCCCAGAGCCUGCAGGGUAGGGGUAGUGGUAGGGGUAGGGUUAGGUGAAGGGGUUAGUUGCCGUCCCUGCGAACCUCCGCAGCUCUGCUGUGGUCCCAGAGCUAUAGUCACACCCCCUCACACCUUGUGACUGUUGUUUCCUGCCACUGUGUACAAACAAGGCUGUGUUGGAGGAAACAGGUGUCUUAUCAGGUCACAGGAGCGUCACCACCCCCCAACCGUACAGUGCUCAGAUUCUUGAGGAAAACCCUUCUGCCUCUGCAGGUGGGGAUGGACGGGGAAGCCAGGUGGGGAGGAUCCUGCUUUAGCGUGAAGAGGAAAAGCAUUUAGUCUGGAAGGUACAUCCUCUGCCGUAGAUACGCUGCUUCCCAGCUGGAUAGCCCUGGGAACGUCACCCACCACCUCUGAGAGCAAAGAUAGGAGGGCUCUGCUCUUUGGGGGAUGAGACAUGUGAAGUCUGAAGUUGAGCAGAAACUACACUGGAGGCCUGGGACUAGGACAGGCUGCUGUGGACCCUUGUACCUCAGGCUGGGCUGGGGUCCCCCAGGCAGCCACCAUCCCCUAGGAACAGUGCCUGCUAGAACCUUGACUCCACACUCUGUAUUUUUGAGUCACAUGAAUGGGAGGUUAUCACUGCCCACCAGAGUUCAGUCCUUGGAAAGACAAAGAGCUGUUCCCCGAGAGCCCCAGCUCUUCUCCAGCGUGCUGCUCAGCUGGAUCAAAUGCAUACGGGUGAAAGGCUGCGGGGGCAGCUGCUGAGGCUUCCUGAAAGAAGAGGCGUCCGCAGGGGCGAGUGGGAGGACGUCCUGGGUGGGGCGCAGCAGAGCAGCGGAGAGAGGCCUAGGUGGCUCUCGCAUCACCGGGACAGACCGCACCCUGGGGUCCUUGAGGAAGGUGAGAUGAGGCAGGGGCAGUGCUGCCAGGAAAGGGUCUGACAUGUGACCUUGAGAGCCAGGGCCUCACUGAUUCCAGAGCCGGGGAGGGGUGGGUGAUCACAUGCGUUGGGUUGGCAGCCUUGGCAGGGCAGGGCGGUGCCCACCACAGAUGGUUUGGGUUGGACAUGGAGGCGGAGGACCGUGGCAGACAGAGCUGGCAGCUGGGGCAGGGUGGACGCUGGGAGUGGCAUGGUGAUUGGAGGAAUGUGAACAGACCGUGGAAAGGGUGAGCUCUGGGCAGAGAGAAAUGAGGGGCCAAGGUAAGGCCAGAGGACCUCCAAGGUGGGCACUGCUGUCAUUCACACCAUUGGUGAGCCAGUCAAGGUGGAGAAGGACGUCUGGUCAGAGUCCAUCUAGCAAGGCUCAGAGGGCCCAGGGUUAUGGAGGUAUGGUCUCUGCUGCCUUUCUUCAGUUGUGGCCUCUCCUCACACACUGUCUCUAGUGGUGCACGCUUUUAAUCCCAGGGAUUGGGAGGCAGAGGCAGGAGGAUGGAUGUGAGUUGAAGGCCAGCCUGGUCUACAGAGUUCUGGGACAGCCAAGACUUAAUAAUCCAACCUCAAAAAGUGCAAAGCAAAACAAAACAGAAAACAGAAACCAAAAACCCACAACUGCAAACCACCUAAAAACAAACAAAAAACAGUCUCUAAAGAGAUGAUGUUAGGCUGGGGGGUGUAGCUCAGUUGGUAGGACCUAGUCGGCAGGCACAAAGCCCUGCCUGGGGUUAAUCCCUGAGUUCAAGGCCAGCUUGGGGCUACAUUAGACCCUGUCUCAAAAACAGUUACAAACGUGGUUUGAGUAGUUGGCCUCAGACUGAAAACCUGUCUUUAGCCCGGGUGGGCCCAUCAUCUGUUGUGUAGUGUACUCUUUGCUUGUUUUUGGUGGUAGUGGGGCUUGAGCUAUAUCCACAGGCGCUCCUUUCUUUCCACACUCACUUGGUGAAGUCAUGUGGAAGGGCAGUGCUCUUAACUGCUGCAUCAUCUUUCAACUUGAACCUACCCUGUGGCACCUGCAGCUCUUGAGCACCUCUUGUUUCAGCCUCCUAAGUAGUAGGGACUACAGGCUUGUGCGACCAAAGCUUAAUAGGGUUUGCUCUUGUCAGAGGUUUGUACCCAUCGACUGCCGCUGCUCCAUUUGGUACCCAGGCCCUCAGGCUGGAGGACGUCUGUUACUUGUUGGGGGCCUUUGCCUCAGCAGAGCUGGGAAGGGUGUGAGCUUGGGUCCUUCCUGCCAGAAGGCUGCUCUUGUGGCCUGUCCCACCCAUGGAGACUGCCUCCCUGGACUGCACCCAGAUUCUGCCUUAGAGCCAGAGCCAACCGGGUGACACAGCCUUCCCUCGAGGCCCUGACUCUACAGCCAGAACUCCCUGGAGAUCAGAGGAAGCAGACACGCUGUCAAAUAAAUACGCUUCCUCCUCAACCCCUCUCCCCCCAUUAAAACAGCCGCCUCCCUCUCCAAGGACAGGGAAGCUGUCUGGGCCCCACACUGUCUGUCUGCUUCCAGAUGACGUGUGUAUAGCAGAGACUCCAGGCCUGGGUGGGCAGGUCCAGGCCCUAGGGAACAGUGGGUGUGGGCUCAGGAUGUUCAUGGGGAGGUUGCCCAAACCCCACUAAGUGUGAGCAGGCCUGGGGGCCAAUGGUGGUACAUCACUGCCUUCAAGCAGGCUUUCCUGUAAGGGCAGCGGGUUGUGGUGGCCUGUCGACCUCUCUGGGUCUCAGUAUCUUCUCGUCAAUGGGUGGGAAUCCUGGCCCCUGCAGGAUUCUUGAGGUUCAGAUAGGGAUACAUUGGAAAGGUCUGUUAAUAACGUGGGAUUUGCUGGCCAUCGCAAGGACCAGCCUCACUAUUAGGUAGUAGGGGCCAUGGAGAGGGAAGGACAGGUGAUGGGAACCCAAAAUGGAGACGCUGAGUAACUCUGACUUGUCUCUGGUGUCAGGGGCCCAGCCUCCUGGCCUGCUGGGCCACCAUCUGAAACGCAUUACUGAUGCUUUGUAAACUCCCAUCAUUCAGCCACAUGAAAGCCUCAGACCUAAAAAUAGCUGCUCCCAGAGGACGCCCCGCACUGGUGGGGCUCAGCUGACCUCUGCACACAAACCCUCCUCCAUGCCACCUCCUUUGCCCAGCAGUCCCCAAUGGCAGGCUGCACAUACCCACCCACCCACCCACCCACCGUGGGCAGCCACUGCCUGAGGCUGCUGUAUCUAGACACGCUCUUCCUCUGCUGGCCAAGGCUUCAGGCCCAAGGCCUUACCUGAGGCGGACUGUCUGGAACAGGGGAAAGAAAGACUGCUGGAGGGUAUGGUGCAGACCCUUCCCUAGGCUUGUCCUGGCCCAGAAUCUGUGGGAGGCCCCAUGAGCAGCAAGUGGAACCAUCAAGGGCACUGAGACCCAGCCUAACACUGACCUGAUCACUGGCUAGUGUGGCACAGGACAGUCACUGGCUGAGGCGCUGGGAAGGGUGGGCCUGUGUGAUGCUGGGCUGGGUGGAGAGCUAGCAGAAGGGCCUCAGGCUGACUCCUUCCCCUGCUCUCUGUGGGUUCCCUCUCCCUAUGGUCUCUGUGACCAACUGCAAGCCACUCUUUUCUCUAAAAAUAAACAUGCUUAUGGGAUUGGGGGAAGCUUUGUAACUAUCAAAGGAAAUAAUAGGGUGUUUAAGAAAAUUACAUUGCGUUUUAAAUAACCAGCAUGAAAGUCAUUAAGUUUGAAGUUUCACUCAGAUCAGAUGGCUCUGUGGCCUCCCGGUGGCCAGGCAGGCAGAGGGUGGGUGGGCCUCUGAUGCUUCGAGGCAGCCUGUGGGAAGCAGUGGGGGCUUUGCCAGGCAUGGCUGGACACUUGGGGUGUGCUGGUUGCGGUAGCCACCCCAGGGCGUGAUGGGAGGCUUUGAAGCAGUGUGCGGCCCUGGGAGCUGCCUGCUGUGGUGGGCAGCCCUGUGGGUGGGGUUGUAGGGAACAGAUGAAGUAGGGAGAUCCAAGACCAAAAGGUUGGUGGCUACAUCAGCUGAAGCAUGAAGAGACCGUAGUAGCUCUGAUCAGAAAUGGAUGGGAGAAGAGAGUCGGCUGUAUCUGUUCCUUUUAGUAUGGGAAUUUCGGUACUGACACUCAGUAGGUGCUCAGAAAACAGAAACAUCUAAUGAGUCUAGAUGUAGCUUCCUUUAUUUUAUUUUUUAAAGAUUUUAUUUAUUUAUUUAUUAUAUGUAAGUACACUGUAGCUGUCUUCAGAUCUCAUUAUGGGUGGUUGUGAGCCACCAUGUGGUUGCUGGGAUUUGAACUAAGGACCUCCAGAAGAUCAGACAGUGCUCUUAACCGCUGAGCCAUCUCACCAGUCCCUGUAGCUUCCUUUAUGACAGAACUAAAAAAAGAAAGAAAGAGAUAGAGAGAGAGAAAGAGAAGAAAAGAG
rnacentral:lncRNA from 1 species